rnacentral:rRNA from 1 species
UGCCUACGGGAGGCAGCAGUGAGGAAUAUUGGUCAAUGGCCGCAGGGCUGAACCAGCCAAGUCGCGUGAGGGAUGACGGUCCUAUGGAUUGUAAACCUCUUUUGUCAGGGAGCAACGCCGGCUACGUGUAGCCGGACUGAGAGUACCUGAAGAAAAAGCAUCGGCUAACUCCGUGCCAGCAGCCGCGGUAAUACGGAGGAUGCGAGCGUUAUCCGGAUUUAUUGGGUUUAAAGGGUGCGUAGGCGGAAUGCCAAGUCAGCGGUAAAAUCGCGGGGCUCAACCUCGCUCCGCCGUUGAAACUGGCG